GGAAUUGCUAGUAAUCGCAGAUCAGCAUGCUGCGGUGAAUACGUUCCCGGGCCUUGUACACACCGCCCGUCACACCAUGAGAGUCGAUAACACCCGAAGCCUGUAGUCUAACCAUAAGGGGGACGCAGUCGAAGGUGGGAUUGAUAAUUAGGGUGAAGUCGUAACAAGGUACC
rnacentral:rRNA from 1 species